CAAUUGGUCAGUUGUUGUUUUCAGUUUAAAUUUGUCUGCAUUGACAGUCGUCUAACUGCAAAAUGUCACGAAAUUAUAAACGAUAUUUGUCCGAUUUUUCUAUACCUGUGCCAAAAACUACAAGAUGGUACAGAAGUCAAUUGAGAACAGAGGAACGGCCAGCAAGUUCGACCGAGGAGGUAAGAAAAACGGGAAUAAGAGCGCCUCCUUGCGACACUUUGUCGAAGUAAUUCCCUACAGCUAGGCUAACCUCUAUUUGUCCACUGGCUUCCAGAUUGAUUCAAGGCCUUCAUUUGAAGCUGAAUUCUCUGAUGACGGAGACCUUGAUGAUCAAAUGAAUACACAGUCUAUGAUUGACUCUUCAGAUGAAGCUGAAUUCCCCUGUGAUGAUCCACCAGACCAUGUUGAGCAACCCGACUUGACACCAGAGGAUGGAACAAAUUAAACAGAAUCCGCUGAAAUGGAUGACGAUGAGCAGUGUUUCACAAACAUCUUCAACGAUCCUGAAAUCCAAGAGCAACCCAUCUACUCUGGUGCAUCAAUUAACCGUGGACAGCUACUGUGCCUCAUUCUGGCCUUCAUCUUGAAGCACAGCAUUAGUGGCAGUGGAUUAAAAGAUUUGUUCGAUCUUUUAAAUAUUGUAGCACCUGGAUGUGCCCCCACAAGUAAAUACUACUUUGACAAAUCUUUCUUUAAUAUGGCAAAACAAUUCGAAAUUCACCAUUACUGUAAAAUUUGCUCGCAAUAUAGGUAAGUUGUUUACCCCUUGCUGCAGUGACGGAAAUGUUGAUCAAAGAGUAAACAAAAAUGAAGGGUAUUAUUUUCUGAAGGAGCUCUUUCUACAAGUUCUUAAACGAUAACAAAACAAAUAUGGGCAUGGGGGACAUUUACAGUGGAAGUAUGUACGCCUCAAAACUUAAAACCUUUGUUGAUACCCUUGACAACAUUUCACUUUCAUUUAAUAUUGAUGGGGCUUCAGUUUUUAAAUCAUCCAAUUACUCAAUUUGGCCAAUUAUCUGCACAGUCAAUGAACUUCCAUCUACUAUCCGUGGAAAAUAUGCUCUUCUACAUUCCCUUUGGUUUAGCUCUAAACCCGAAAUGCCAACACUGUUUUUUACAAGAUCUAUUCACAGAACGGUUUUCUUGGCAUGACAACACUGGUCAUAAACACACCACAAAAGUUGCCCCAGGUGUCUGCAUAUGUGAUGCGCCAGCCCGUGCCAUGGUACAGGACAUGAAACAAUUUAACGGCAGAUA